rnacentral:rRNA from 1 species
UACGUAGGUGGCAAGCGUUGUUCGGAAUUAUUGGGCGUAAAGGGCGCGUAGGCGGCUUGUUAAGUCGGCUGUGAAAGCCCGGGGCUCAACCCCGGAGGGUCAGCCGAUACUGGCAGGCUAGAGUACGGAAGAGGUAGCUGGAAUUCCCGGUGUAGCGGUGAAAUGCGCAGAUAUCGGGAGGAACACCAAUGGCGAAGGCAGCUCGCUGGGACGUGACUGACGCUGAGACGCGAAAGCGUGGGGAGCAAACAAGG